GACGAACCGUGCGAACGUUGUUCGGAAUCACUGGGCUUAAAGGGCGCGUAGGCGGGCUGCCAAGUCCGGGGUGAAAUCCUCUGGCCCAACCAGAGAACGGCCUCGGAUACUGGCGGCCUGGAGGGGGGUAGGGGCGAGCGGAACUGUGGGUGGAGCGGUGAAAUGCGUUGAUAUCCACAGGAACUCCGGUGGCGAAGGCGGCUCGCUGGACCCCACCUGACGCUGAGGCGCGAAAGCCAGGGGAGCGAACGGGAUUAGAUACCCCGGUAGUCCUGGCCCUAAACGAUGGGGACUAGGUAGUAGCCCGCGCAUGGGGUUACUGCCGGAGCAAAAGUGCUAAGUCCCCCGCCUGGGGAGUAUGGUCGCAAGGCUGAA
rnacentral:rRNA from 1 species